rnacentral:lncRNA from 1 species
AGGGAAGCAGGCUUCAGUGUGGGCAGAAUCAGAAGCAUAUUUGAGCAAAAGCAUCUUCUCUCUAUACACACAGGCAGAAGACCCCUGCAGUGGAAAUGGGCGGACCCCUGGGAUGUACCCCCACUUAUUAGCCACAUCCUCCAUGCUGGGUCUGGAGCUCAGGCUAUGGACGCAUGAUGCAUGAGACUUUGAGCCUUGCCCUUAUGCUGUUUUUAAAGCAUCUUUUAAUUAUCUAUGAGCUGAUUACGCUGUCGAUACAAUAAUUAUGUACAUGUGAUACUAUGUGUAGCAUAGUGAGAUAUAUACAUAGUGUAAUAUACAUUAUCUAUAGUAGAAUAUCGGUGCCAUAUAGUCAUCAGUUCCCUCCAUUUCCGUACAUCCUCUGAAGUAGGCGUUUUAUCACCUCUGGUUUAUAGGCAGAGAAAUAGAAGCCUCAGAAAAACUUAAAUUUCUUCACGAUUACUCACCUGGAACUCAACCAGGGAGCCUGACCUAGGUGAUAUUGAAGUUGUAAUUUUGGGUAUUAGAGCUUGGUCUUAGUCACUUCCUCAUCCCUGGAACAAAAUACCCAGCACCCAUGAUUUACAGGAAGAGAGGUUUUAUUUUCCCCGCACAGUUUCAGAAGUUUCAGCUCAUGGCCAGGCAGUGCCAAGGCAAGUGGAAAGGCCUGGGUAGAAGAAGCUGCUCAUGUCCUGGCAGACAAGGCCAUGGAGGAGUGCAGCACCCCGUGAUCUGGUCAUCCUCCAAAAGCCGCACACCGAGCCUGUGAGAGUUGGGGGCAUAUUCCAGAUUCAGACCAUGACAAGACAGGAACGAAAACCAGCUGCUCUGAAUCUAUGCUUGAUGACCACUGUGAGGGGAAAUCAUCCCCAAACGUAA